CAGAAGCAAGAAGUACUUGUGUUAAAGAUUGCAAUUCACAUGGUGGACACAGCAGAUUGUUUGCAGGAGAUGCCAACUAACAAGCAAAGGAUUUCUACACAGGAGCAAAAGUGAAACAUAAGUGGAGGAAGUCAGACGUAGCUUUCGCGCAGGGAACCUGACCAGAUAUCCUCCGUCAAAGCACACCUGACGGAGAUGAGGAUAACACACGGCAGCAGUCAGUGCGGUGCUUAGGAGUGUUUGAAAUGCCACCACGGACCAGCCCCCUUGAGGAUGCCACUCACCAUGUUCUUUCAAAGUCUGACAAGACAUCCAAAUUAGAGGUGAAGUACAUCAAUCCAGUGAAAGGACGUGGCAUAUUUGCAAAGGGUUUAAUUUGCAAAGGAGAUUUUGUUGUUGCAUAUAGGGAAGAUAUGAUAGAUGAUAAAGAAUCCCAGCGAAGAAGAAAACUUUACCAUCCGUCAUGUGCUGCAUUUAUGUUUGCAUUCCGGUGGAAAGGGAAACUAUGGUGUAUUGAUGCUUCGAGAGAAGAUGGAUCAUUUGG